rnacentral:rRNA from 1 species
UACGUAGGUGGCAAGCGUUGUCCGGAAUUAUUGGGCGUAAAGGGCGCGUAGGCGGUCCCUUAAGUCAGAUGUGAAAUCCCGAGGCUCAACCUCGGGCGUGCAUUUGAAACUGGGGGACUAGAGUGCAGGAGAGGUAAGUGGAAUUCCUAGUGUAGCGGUGAAAUGCGUAGAUAUUAGGAGGAACACCAGUGGCGAAGGCGACUUACUGGACUGUAACUGACGCUGAGGCGCGAAAGCGUGGGGAGCAAACAGGAUUAGAAA